rnacentral:rRNA from 1 species
CAGGCUGCAACUCGCCUGCAUGAAGUCGGAAUUGCUAGUAAUCGCGGAUCAGCAUGCCGCGGUGAAUACGUUCUCGGGCCUUGUACACACCGCCCGUCACACCAUGGGAGUCGUAACACCCGAAGUCUGUAGCCUGACGCAAGAGGGCGCAGCCGAAGGUGGGAUUGAUGACUGGGGUGAAGUCGUAACAAGGUAAC